GAUGAACGCUAGCGGGAGGCCUAACACAUGCAAGCCGAGCGGUAUUUGUUCUUCGGAACAGAGAGAGCGGCGCACGGGUGCGGAACACGUGUGCAACCUGCCUUUAUCUGGGGGAUAGCCUUUCGAAAGGAAGAUUAAUACCCCAUAAUAUAUUGAGUGGCAUCAUUUGAUAUUGAAAACUCCGGUGGAUAGAGAUGGGCACGCGCAAGAUUAGAUAGUUGGUGAGGUAACGGCUCACCAAGUCAAUGAUCUUUAGGGGGCCUGAGAGGGUGAUCCCCCACACUGGUACUGAGACACGGACCAGACUCCUACGGGAGGAAGCAGUGAGGAAUAUUGGACAAUGGGUUAGCGCCUGAUCCAGCCAUCCCGCGUGAAGGACGACGGCCCUAUGGGUUGUAAACUUCUUUUGUAUAGGGAUAAACCUACUCUCGUGAGAGUAGCUGAAGGUACUAUACGAAUAAGCACCGGCUAACUCCGUG
rnacentral:rRNA from 1 species